rnacentral:tRNA from 1 species
GGAGAUAUGGCUCAGAGGUUAAGAGCACUGGACUGCUCUUCAGAGGUCCUGAGUUCAAUUCCCAGCAGCCACA